rnacentral:rRNA from 1 species
GACGAACGCUGGCGGCGUGCUUAACACAUGCAAGUCGAACGAUGAAGCUAGAGCUUGCUCUGGUGGAUUAGUGGCGAACGGGUGAGUAACACGUGAGUAACCUGCCCCGAACUCUGGGAUAACUGUUGGAAACGGUAGCUAAUACCGGAUAUGACCAAUGAAGGCAUCUUCUGUUGGUGGAAAGAAUUUCGGUUCGGGAUGGACUCGCGGCCUAUCAGCUUGUUGGUGAGGUAACGGCUCACCAAGGCGACGACGGGUAGCCGGCCUGAGAGGGUGAUCGGCCACACUGGGACUGAGACACGGCCCAGACUCCUACGGGAGGCAGCAGUGGGGAAUAUUGCACAAUGGGCGCAAGCCUGAUGCAGCAACGCCGCGUGAGGGACGACGGCCUUCGGGUUGUAAACCUCUUUUAGUAGGGAAGAAGCGAAAGUGACGGUACCUGCAGAAAAAGCACCGGCUAACUACGUGCCAGCAGCCGCCGUAC